AUGGAAACCCCUGACACUGUGGUGGAACCAUCUUUCUGUGGUUCUUACACUGAAUCUGAGCCGACGUGCAUGAUGCAUCAUCAGAGGCCGAAGAAGAUGGUGGCUUUUGAAGGUUCUUUGACUGGCAGGCGUUUCCUGGGUUGUCCUAUGCAGCAGGAUGAAGGUGUGAACUGUGGGGUUGUGGAGUGGGUGGAUGGUCCUUGGCCAGAGAUUCUACAAAGGUGCCUAACCAGGAUUUGGGACAUGUAUCAUGAGCAGAACUUGGGCAGGGUGAAUGACAAACAAGCCCAUGAGAAAGAGGUGGCCAAGCUACAGAAGGAAAUUGAUUUCCUGUCAAACAACUACAGC
rnacentral:rRNA from 1 species